GAUGAACGCUGGCGGCGUGCUUAAUACAUGCAAGUCGAACGGAGUAUGUAGUGAUAUAUACUUAGUGGCGAACGGGUGAGUAACGCGUUGGUGACCUGCCCCGAAGCGGGGGAUAACAGUUCGAAAGGACUGCUAAUACCGCGUAAUGUAGUGAGGAUUAGAAUCUUGCUACGAAAGCAGCAAUGCGCUUUGGGAGGGACCUGCGGCCCAUCAGCUAGUUGGUAAGGUAGUGGCUUACCAAGGCGACGACGGGUAGGGGGCCUGAGAGGGUGAUCCCCCACACUGGCACUGAAACACGGGCCAGACACCUACGGGUGGCUG
rnacentral:rRNA from 1 species